GAUGAACGCUGGCGGCGUGCCUAAUACAUGCAAGUCGAGCGAACGGACGAGAAGCUUGCUUCUCUGAUGUUAGCGGCGGACGGGUGAGUAACACGUGGAUAACCUACCUAUAAGACUGGGAUAACUUCGGGAAACCGGAGCUAAUACCGGAUGAUAUUUUGAACCGCAUGGUUCAAAAGUGAAAGACGGUCUUGCUGUCACUUAUAGAUGUAUCCGCGCUGCAUUAGCUAGUUGGUAAGGUAACGGCUUACCAAGGCAACGAUGCAUAGCCGACCUGAGAGGGGGGUGCGGCCCACAUGGAACGGAGAACGGGCCAAGACCCCCAGGGGGGGCAGGAGUGGGGAAUCUUCCGCAAGGGGGGAAAGCCUGACGGGGAAACCCCGGGGGGGUGAUGAAGGUCUUCGGAUCGAAAAACUCUGUUAUUGGGGAAAAACAUAUGUGUAAGUAACUGUGCAACUUUUGGCGGUACCAAAACAAAAAGCCACGGCUAACUACGG
rnacentral:rRNA from 1 species